GAGGGUCAUUGGAAACUGGAAAACUUGAGUGCAGAAGAGGAAAGUGGAAUUCCAUGUGUAGCGGUGAAAUGCGCAGAGAUAUGGAGGAACACCAGUGGCGAAGGCGACUUUCUGGUCUGUAACUGACGCUGAUGUGCGAAACGCUUGGGGGAUCAAACAGGAUUAGAUACCCUGGUAGUCCACGCCGUAAACGAUGAGUGCUAAGUGUUAGGGGGUUUCCGCCCCUUAGUGCUGCAGCUAACGCAUUAAGCACUCCGCCUGGGGAGUACGACCGCAAGUUUUGAAACUCAAAAGGAAUUGACGGGGACCCGCACAAGCGGUGGGAGCAUGUGGUUUAAUUCGAAAGCAACGCGAAGAAACCUUACCAAAUCUU
rnacentral:rRNA from 1 species